UACGUAGGUGGCAAGCGUUGUCCGGAAUUAUUGGGCGUAAAGCGCGCGCGGGCGGCUUCUUAAGUCUGAUGUGAAAGCCCACGGCUCAACCGUGGAGGGUCAUUGGAAACUGGGGAGCUUGAGUGCAGGAGAGGAGAGUGGAAUUCCAUGUGUAGCGGUGAAAUGCGUAGAUAUAUGGAGGAACACCAGUGGCGAAGGCGGCUCUCUGGCCUGUAACUGACGCUGAGGCGCGAAAGCGUGGGGAGCAAACAGG
rnacentral:rRNA from 1 species